rnacentral:pre_miRNA from 1 species
UCCCUGCUCCCCCUCUCUAAUCCUUGCUACCUGGGUGAGAGUGCUGUCAGAAUGCAAUGCACCUGGGCAAGGAUUCCGAGAGUGAGAGCU